CCCGCACAAGCAGUGGAGUAUGUGGUUAAUUCGAAGCAACGCGAAGAACCUUACCAGGGCUUGACAUCCCUUGAAGCAGCUAGAGAUAGCUGUGUCCUUCGGGACAAGGAGACAGGUGGUGCAUGGUUGUCGUCAGCUCGUGUCGUGAGAUGUUGGGUUAAGUCCCGCAACGAGCGCAACCCCUGUGGUUAGUUGCCAUCAUUCAGUUGGGCACUCUAGCGAGACUGCCGGUAAUAAACCGGAGGAAGGUGGGAUGACGUCAAAUCAUCAUGCCCCUUAUGACCUGGGCUACACACGUGCUACAAUGGUUGGUACAACGAGUUGCGAGUCGGCGACGGCGAGCUAAUCUCUUAAAGCCAAUCUCAGUUCGGAUUGUAGGCUGCAACUCGCCUACAUGAAGUCGGAAUCGCUAGUAAUCGCGGAUCAGCACGCCGCGGUGAAUACGUUCCCGGGCCUU
rnacentral:rRNA from 1 species